GGCUAGUCUGAAGGUAGGUAGUUAUCUCACUUGAUUGUUCAGUCAGUUACAGAUUGAACUCCUUGUUCUACUACUUUCCCCUUCUUGCUACUGUGCUUGACUAGUCUAAA
rnacentral:Y_RNA from 1 species